CAGAUAAAUAAAUAAAACCUUUAAAAAAAAGAAAAAAAAAGAAAUCAGGGAAUCAACCACUGACUGGGUCUAUCAACCAGGGACCCAGUACUUCAUUUAUUACUGGGCUCAUCUGCCCUCACUCUAACAGAGGCCCACGAUGACUCUGCAUCUUCUGAUUUCAGUCUCAACUCUGCCCCUUGUUCAGCAAUUCUCAAAAUGUACAUUUUGAGUAUUUCCUUUCUCCAGUGGGUGGUUACUUGAGUCAAUGGCUGUUGGUUCCUUUGUGGGAGGAGGAGAAAAAUCAUUCUCUCUCCAUUUGGUGUUGACUUCUUCCUCUUAAAGCCUUAAGAGUUUCUGUCUGAAAAUUGGCUCAGAUCCAGAUGCUGGGCAAGGAGUCAUGGCUGCUCACUGGGGCAACUGUCCUCAGCCACCUAGUUGUCUAUCCAUGAAUGGUUUGAUUUUGUUUGAGGAGCCCACUCAUUGGCUACCUGUCUGUUUCACCCACCCUUGUCCUGGGAACCAUCUCUAAAACUCAUCAGGUGACUUCCUCCACAUGCCUUAACUUCCCUUAUCAUGAGCUCAUGUGCAUGGCUUCUGACUGAAGCCCAGCCCUUUUUGCCUGUACUGUUGUACAGUCCUAUUGUCCCCACUUUGCUUGAAUAUCUGAACACUGAUACCUCAUACCAGCUUGUUUCCUUUUUAUACCGCCCUAGUUCGCCAGUGGUAAAAAGUGUUACAACCUGCACAUUCUGGAACUAUCUACCUUAUGCCAGGACCUUAUGCUCCAUCUACCACCAGUGCUGAGGGCCUUGGGACCAGCCAGAUGGUGACCCAGAUCCUAAAAUCUGCUGCCUCCACCCCUUCCGAUACAAAUUGAUCCAAGCAAGACUGUCUGGGAAGCAGCCUCUGAGAUAGAGCUCAGUCCAUAGGAGUGCUCUUGGGAUCAGGACCCAGGGAUGGAAAGAAGUGAAGGUGUUUUGGGAGAAUGGAUUUGAGGUGAGCUCGUGGUGGCAGGGAGACAAGAGCCUUCUCCAAGAGCUGCAGCGGUGGGGACAAGGGGUAGCUGCUAUCCGAGUGUCACAUCAUCUGCUGACACACUAGGAGGACCCAGUACCGGGGGACUGAUCAUCUUGAAAGCAGAGCUCUGACUCCCUCUAGGAGCCCUAGUCAUUAUCUGGACACGGCAGUGCUGGGGACUGGGAUUAAAGAACCCGUGCCCAGCGGGUUCCAACCCAGGCGGAGGGGGCCCUGGUGCACUGGGGGCAACACCUUCUAUUCAGCACACCCUGUAUCAGAUGCUAAGUAUUUGGCAAGCAUUAGUUCAUUUGAUUUUCCUAACAACCCGACACACUACUAUCUUCAUCUCCACUUUACCAAUGUUAAGACGAUGGAAUCAGUCACUUGCUCCAGAUCACACCGCCCGUAAGGGUUGAGCGGGGUCUCCAUCCCAGAGGUGCCACAGAAAGUCAUAGAACAGAUAUUUUAAGAUCUACAAGGUCUUAAAGGUUUACCUAUUUACCUGGAAGAUUUUCUCCAGCAAAAUAUGAGCGAGGGGAGUGACACAGGAAAUGAGAUCAAACCCAGUGAGUGACACACCUGACGUAAGACCCCUGAUGGAGCAGAACGUCACACUCGAGAUAAAUGGAGGGCUGGCGCCAUGAGGCCCCACAGCUGUUGUCCCCGAACCUGUGAGUCUGUUAUGCUGAGUCUCAUGGAUUUCUACUCAGCAAUGUGCUUACAUUCCUGCUUUUCUCCCUGCUGUGUUGUCUACAACAUGCAGCUCACCCUCAGAGAAGCAUUCUGCUGUCCUUGACACUGGAGGUGGACCAGCGUGUUUAGAAGAUAAAAAAACGCCCCCAGCCCCAUUCCUUGCUAACAUUCCUGAAGGCGAUCUGGUACCUUGAACACCCGUACCUCAGCCUCAUUCAUCAACCCACCCAGUGACUCUUACAAAGGCUCAGGGAAGCCAGAAAAGGACCCUGGGGGCCGUCCAGCUUCUCCCCCGCAGCCCUCUUAUAGGAAGGCAGUACUGUUCCUUACAGGCUUGUGGUUGCUCAUCAGUUUUCCUAUUACUCACUGUUCAAUUCAUUUUUGUGGAAGCAGUUGGCAAAAUAAUAAAGCAUUUGAAGACAUCUUUCUAAA